GUGGAGCUCUACCCUCUGGUUCAGCUUCAGCUUUAAAGCAAACUAUCUUUAGCUUCUGCAGAGGAGCUUCGCUAUCCCUCGAAAAUGGCUUCCGUUUCUUUUCUUCGGCUUUCCCCGAUUACCUCUCCCAAAACCCUAGCCAAACCCUAUCCUUUUUCUUCCUUUGCCCCUCCUUUACUUGUCUUUCUCAAAUCACCUCCUCUCACCCCUCCCUCACUAAAGCCCACCACCACACGUAUGUCUUACAAUCCCACUCCAGCCACUGAACGCUUAAUCUCAGCCGUUGCUUACACUCUUCCUUUCUUCAA
rnacentral:misc_RNA from 1 species